UACGAAGGGGGGCUAGCGUUGCUCGGAAUCACUGGGCGUAAAGGGUGCGUAGGCGGUCUUUUAAGUCAGUGGUGAAAUCCUCCAGCUUAACUGGAGAACUGCCAUUGAUACUGGGAGACUUGAGUACAGACGAGGUAGGCGGAAUUGACAGUGUAGCGGUGAAAUGCAUAGAUAUUGUCAAGAACACCGAUUGCGAAGGCAGCUUACUAGACUGUAACUGACGCUGAGGCACGAAAGUGUGGGGAUCAAACAGG
rnacentral:rRNA from 1 species